rnacentral:rRNA from 1 species
AUUGACAAGGUUCGGAGCUGGCCAGCACAGAGGUACUUGUUCCUUGGGUGGCGAGCGGCGGAGGGGGAGGCGGCCUGGAAAAUUGCCCGGAAGAGGGGGAUAACCAUGGAAAAAGAGGGCUAAUACCGCAUAACCUCGCAAGAGCAAAGCAGGGGACCUUCGGGCCUUGCGCUACCGGAUAUGCCCAGGUGGGAUUAGCUAGUUGGGGAGGUAAGGGCUCACCAAGGCGACAAUCCCUAGCUGGUCUGAAAGGAUGAUCACCCACACUGGAACUGAAACACGGUCCAAACUCCUACGGGAGGCAGCAGGGGGGAAUAUUGCACAAUGGGCGCAAGCCUGAUGCAGCCAUGCCGCGUGUAUGAAAAAGGCCUUCGGGUUGUAAAGUACUUUCAGUAGGGAGGAAGGGGGUUAAGUUAAUACCUUAAUCAUUUGACGUUACCUACAGAAAAAGCACCGGCUAACUCCGUGCCAGCAGCCGCGGAAAUACGGAGGGGGCAAGCGUUAAUCGGAAUUACUGGGCGUAAAGCGCAUGCAGGUGGUUUGUUAAGUCAAAUGUGAAAGCCCUGGGCUCAACCUAGGAAUCGCAUUUGAAACUGACAAGCUAGAGUACUGUAGAGGGGGGUAGAAUUUCAGGUGUAGCGGGGAAAUGCGUAAAGAUCUGAAGGAUUACCGGUGGCGAAGGCGCCCCCCUGGACAGAUACUGACACUCAAAUGCGAAAGCGUGGGGAGCAAACAGGAUUAGAUACCCUGGUA